UGCAGUCGAGCGGUAGCACAGAGAGCUUGCUCUCGGGUGACGAGCGGCGGACGGGUGAGUAAUGUCUGGGAAACUGCCUGAUGGAGGGGGAUAACUACUGGAAACGGUAGCUAAUACCGCAUAAUGUCGCAAGACCAAAGUGGGGGACCUUCGGGCCUCAUGCCAUCAGAUGUGCCCAGAUGGGAUUAGCUGGUAGGUGGGGUAACGGCUCACCUAGGCGACGAUCCCUAGCUGGUCUGAGAGGAUGACCAGCCACACUGGAACUGAGACACGGUCCAGACUCCUACGGGAGGCAGCAGUGGGGAAUAUUGCACAAUGGGCGCAAGCCUGAUGCAGCCAUGCCGCGUGUGUGAAGAAGGCCUUCGGGUUGUAAAGCACUUUCAGCGGGGAGGAAGGCGGUGAGGUUAAUAACCUCAUCGAUUGACGUUACCCGCAGAAGAAGCACCGGCUAACUCCGUGCCAGCAGCCGCGGUAAUACGGAGGGUGCAAGCGUUAAUCGGAAUUACUGGGCGUAAAGCGCACGCAGGCGGUCUGUCAAGUCGGAUGUGAAAUCCCCGGGCUCAACCUGGGAACUGCAUUCGAAACUGGCAGGCUAGAGUCUUGUAGAGGGGGGUAGAAUUCCAGGUGUAGCGGUGAAAUGCGUAGAGAUCUGGAGGAAUACCGGUGGCGAAGGCGGCCCCCUGGACAAAGACUGACGCUCAGGUGCGAAAGCGUGGGGAGCAAACAGGAUUAGAUACCCUGGUAGUCCACGCUGUAAACGAUGUCGAUUUGGAGGUUGUGCCCUUGAGGCGUGGCUUCCGGAGCUAACGCGUUAAAUCGACCGCCUGGGGAGUACGGCCGCAAGGUUAAAACUCAAAUGAAUUGACGGGGGCCCGCACAAGCGGUGGAGCAUGUGGUUUAAUUCGAUGCAACGCGAAGAACCUUACCUGGUCUUGACAUCCACAGAACUUUCCAGAGAUGGAUUGGUGCCUUCGGGAACUGUGAGACAGGUGCUGCAUGGCUGUCGUCAGCUCGUGUUG
rnacentral:rRNA from 1 species